rnacentral:rRNA from 1 species
CAGGCUUAACACAUGCAAGUCGAGGGGCAGCACAGGUAGCAAUACCGGGUGGCGACCGGCGCACGGGUGAGUAACGCGUAUGCAACUUGCCUAUCAGAGGGGGAUAACCCGGCGAAAGUCGGACUAAUACCGCAUGAAGCAGGGGCCCCGCAUGGGGAUAUUUGCUAAAGAUUCAUCGCUGAUAGAUAGGCAUGCGUUCCAUUAGGCAGUUGGCGGGGUAACGGCCCACCAAACCGACGAUGGAUAGGGGUUCUGAGAGGAAGGUCCCCCACAUUGGUACUGAGACACGGACCAAACUCCUACGGGAGGCAGCAGUGAGGAAUAUUGGUCAAUGGCCGAGAGGCUGAACCAGCCAAGUCGCGUGAGGGAUGAAGGUUCUAUGGAUCGUAAACCUCUUUUAUAAGGGAAUAAAGUGCGGGACGUGUCCCGUUUUGUAUGUACCUUAUGAAUAAGGAUCGGCUAACUCCGUGCCAGCAGCCGCGGUAAUACGGAGGAUCCGAGCGUUAUCCGGAUUUAUUGGGUUUAAAGGGUGCGUAGGCGGCCUUUUAAGUCAGCGGUGAAAGUCUGUGGCUCAACCAUAGAAUUGCCGUUGAAACUGGGGGGCUUGAGUAUGUUUGAGGCAGGCGGAAUGCGUGGUGUAGCGGUGAAAUGCAUAGAUAUCACGCAGAACCCCGAUUGCGAAGGCAGCCUGCCAAGCCAUUACUGACGCUGAUGCACGAAAGCGUGGGGAUCAAACAGGAUUAGAUACCCUGGUAGUCCACGCAGUAAACGAUGAUCACUAGCUGUUUGCGAUACACUGUAAGCGGCACAGCGAAAGCGUUAAGUGAUCCACCUGGGGAGUACGCCGGCAACGGUGAAACUCAAAGGAAUUGACGGGGGCCCGCACAAGCGGAGGAACAUGUGGUUUAAUUCGAUGAUACGCGAGGAACCUUACCCGGGUUUGAACGCAUUCGGACCGAGGUGGAAACACCUUUUCUAGCAAUAGCCGUUUGCGAGGUGCUGCAUGGUUGUCGUCAGCUCGUGCCGUGAGGUGUCGGCUUAAGUGCCAUAACGAGCGCAACCCUUGCCACUAGUUACUAACAGGUAAAGCUGAGGACUCUGGUGGGACUGCCAGCGUAAGCUGCGAGGAAGGCGGGGAUGACGUCAAAUCAGCACGGCCCUUACAUCCGGGGCGACACACGUGUUACAAUGGCGUGGACAAAGGGAAGCCACCUGGCGACAGGGAGCGAAUCCCCAAACCACGUCUCAGUUCGGAUCGGAGUCUGCAACCCGACUCCGUGAAGCUGGAUUCGCUAGUAAUCGCGCAUCAGCCAUGGCGCGGUGAAUACGUUCCCGGGCCUUGUACACACCGCCCGUCAAGCCAUGGGAGCCGGGGGUACCUGAAGUCCGUAACCGCGAGGAUCGGCCUAGGGUAAAACUGGUGACUGGGGCUAAGUCAUAACA